AUUGCCUCAGUAACGGCGAGUGAAGCGGCAACAGCUCAAAUUUGAAAUCUGGCGGCCUCUGGGCCGUCCGAGUUGUAAUUUGAAGAGGAUGCUUUUGGCGAGGCGCCUUCCGAGUGCCCUGGAACGGGACGCCACAGAGGGUGAGAGCCCCGUAUGGUUGGACGCCGAGCCUCUGUAAAGCUCCUUCGACGAGUCGAGUAGUUUGGGAAUGCUGCUCAAAAUGGGAGGUAAACCCCUUCUAAAGCUAAAUACUGGCCAGAGACCGAUAGCGCACAAGUAGAGUGAUCGAAAGAUGAAAAGCACUUUGAAAAGAGAGUUAAACAGCACGUGAAAUUGUUGAAAGGGAAGCGCUUGCGACCAGACUUGUGCCCGUCGAAUCAGCCGCCGCUCGUCGGCGGCGCACUUCGGCGGGCUCAGGCCAGCAUCAGUUCGCUGCAGGGGGAGAAAGGCGAUGGGAAUGUGGCUCUUCGGAGUGUUAUAGCCCGCCGCGCAAUACCCCUCGGCGGACUGAGGACCGCGCAUCUGCAAGGAUGCU
rnacentral:rRNA from 2 species